rnacentral:misc_RNA from 1 species
GAAAUGCGAUAAGUAAUGUGAAUUGCAGAAUUCAGUGAAUCAUCGAAUCUUUGAACGCACCUUGCGCUCCUUGGUAUUCCUUGGAGCAUGCCUGUUUGAGUAUCAUGAAAUCUUCAAAGUAAAUCUUUUUUUAACUCAAUUGGUUUCUACUUUGGUAUUGGAGGUCUUUGCAGCUUCACACCUGCUCCUCUUUGUUCAUUAGCUGGAUCUCAGUGUUAUGCUUGGUUCCACUCGGCGUGAUAAGUUAUCUAUCGCUGAGGACACUGUAAAAGGUGGCCAAGGUAAAUGCAGAUGAACCGCUUCUAAUAGUCCAUUGACUUGGACAAUACUUUUAUGAUCUGAUCUCAAAUCAGGUAGGACUACCCGCUGAACUUAAGC